GAUGAACGCUGGCGGCGUGCUUAACACAUGCAAGUCGAACGAAGCACUUUAUUUGAUUUCCUUCGGGACUGAUUAUUUUGUGACUGAGUGGCGGACGGUUGAGUAACGCGUGGGUAACCUGCCUUGUACAGGGGGAUAACAGUUGGAAACGGCUGCUAAUACCGCAUAAGCGCACAGCAUCGCAUGAUGCAGUGUGAAAAACUCCGGUGGUAUAAGAUGGACCCGCGUUGGAUUAGCUAGUUGGUGAGGUAACGGCCCACCAAGGCGACGAUCCAUAGCCGACCUGAGAGGGUGACCGGCCACAUUGGGACUGAGACACGGCCCAAACUCCUACGGGAAGCAGCAGUGGGGAAUAUUGCACAAUGGGCGAAAGCCUGAUGCAGCGACGCCGCGUGAGCGAAGAAGUAUUUCGGUAUGUAAAGCUCUAUCAGCAGGGAAGAUAAUGACGGUACCUGACUAAGAAGCACCGGCUAAAUACGUG
rnacentral:rRNA from 1 species